UUGGGUAACUGUACUGUCAAUAAAGUUGAAGUAAACACGCAGCCUGAUUCCACCCCGAAAGAUCAGCAAUCAAAAACUUAUCUCGAUCCAGAAGGUGCCUAUUCUUUUAAAUCAGACAUUGGUCAUUUGGUGUAGUUGCCCAUCAGAUUUGGACUGGUGGCGUUCAUGAACCGUAUACGAAUACAGAUUACUCUGGAGCGAUAACGACAGUGAGAGAUCUACUUCAAAACUACGAAACAAUGAAGAAAAGUCCACUGCAUUUUGUACAAAUUGAGGGCGAGUAUCCAGAAAUCGCAGCCAUUAUCAAGAAAACAUUUUAUCGAAAUCCAAAGAAACGAAUAUCGUUUUGUGAAAUGAAAAAGAAAUUCAGACUAAUUAGCAAUUCGUCAAAUGUUAACACUAGCACGGCAGAGUAAAAUAAACCAGGCAAGAGCGGUUCAUUUUCGAAACGUCAAAUAA